GACGAACGCUGGCGGCGUGCUUAACACAUGCAAGUCGAACGGAAAGGCCCUGCUUUUGUGGGGUGCUCGAGUGGCGAACGGGUGAGUAACACGUGAGUAACCUGCCCUUGACUUUGGGAUAACUUCAGGAAACUGGGGCUAAUACCGGAUAGGAGCUCCUGCUGCAUGGUGGGGGUUGGAAAGUUUCGGCGGUUGGGGAUGGACUCGCGGCUUAUCAGCUUGUUGGUGGGGUAGUGGCUUACCAAGGCUUUGACGGGUAGCCGGCCUGAGAGGGUGACCGGCCACAUUGGGACUGAGAUACGGCCCAGAAUCCUACGGGAGGCAGCAGUGGGGAAUAUUGCACAAUGGGCGGAAGCCUGAUGCAGCAACGCCGCGUGCGGGAUGACGGCCUUCGGGUUGUAAACCGCUUUCGCAUGUGACGAAGCGUGAGUGAUGGUAAUGGGUAAAGAAGCACCGGCUAACUACGUG
rnacentral:rRNA from 1 species